rnacentral:rRNA from 1 species
UACGAAGGGGGCUAGCGUUGCUCGGAUUCAUUGGGCGUAAAGGGUGCGUAGGUGGCGCUGUAAGUGGGGUGUGAAAUCCCGGGGCUUAACUCCGGAACUGCAUUCCAUACUGCGGUGCUUGAGGACUGGAGAGGAGACUGGAAUUUACGGUGUAGCAGUGAAAUGCGUAGAUAUCUGGAGGAACACCGGUGGCAAAGGCGGCAUCCUGGACCGGCAUUGACGCUGAGGAGCGAAAGCCAGGGGAGCAAAGCGGGG